AUCGCUUCUCGGCCUUUUGGCUAAGAUCAGUGUAGUAUCUGUUCUUAUCAGGUUAAUAUCGGAUACGUCCCCAAUCUGGGGACCAUAUAUGAAAUGGGAUUUUUUGAAACAAGGGAGAUGGAAGAAGAGCUUGCUCUGUCCACUCCACGCAUCGACCUGGUAUUGCAGUACCUCCAGGACCGGUGCACCUCUC
rnacentral:snRNA from 1 species